UACAGAGGUCCCGAGCGUUGCUCGGAUUCAUUGGGCGUAAAGGGUGCGUAGGCGGUCUGCUAAGUUUGGUGUGAAAUCCCGGGGCUCAACCCUGGAAUGGCAUUGAAUACUGGCGGACUAGAGUACCGGAGAGGAAACUGGAAUUUACGGUGUAGCAGUGAAAUGCGUAGAGAUCGUAAGGAAGACCAGUGGCGAAGGCGAGUUUCUGGACGGUAACUGACGCUGAGGCACGAAGGCCAGGGGAGCAAACGGG
rnacentral:rRNA from 1 species